UGCUAGGAAAUGAGCGACGGUGCCUCGCAAGGGGUGAAAAGGGAAGCAGGUUCGUGCCAUGUGCAUCAGUCCUGCGCUGCCCCCGCAACUGUAGGUGGUAUGUCAUUGCCGUCGCAGCCCACUGGUGACCAUGCCGGGAAGGGGGCGGCAAUGCCGGGCAACCGGGACCAUGAGCCAGGAGACCUGCCGUCGCGUCACCGAUUUCA
rnacentral:ncRNA from 17 species